rnacentral:rRNA from 1 species
GAUGAACGCUGGCGGCGUGCCUAAUACAUGCAAGUUGAACGAAGAUGUUCUUGAGUUUACUCGAGAGCUCUUAGUGGCGAACGGGUGAGUAACGCGUUGGUGACCUGCCCUAAAGAAGGGAACAACCUCGGGAAACUGAGGCUAAUACCCUAUGUGCUUCUAGAGAUUUGACGCUUUAGAAGUAAAGGUCCUGUGGACGAAAGGCCACAGUGCCGCUUUAGGAGGGGCCUGCGUACCAUCAGCUAGUUGGUAGGGUAAUGGCCUACCAAGGCGAUGACGGUUAGGGGACCUGAGAGGGUGACCCCCCACACUAGCACUGAAACACGGGCUAGACACCUACGGGUGGCAGCAGUAGGGAAUAUUGCACAAUCGACGAAAGUCUGAUGCAGCAACGCCGCGUGUGCGAUGAAGGCCUUCGGGUUGUAAAGCACUUUUCUGAGGGAAGAGAAAGGACGGUACCUCAGGAAUAAGUCUCGGCUAACUACGUG